rnacentral:rRNA from 1 species
GAUGAACGCUGGCGGCGUGCCUAAUACAUGCAAGUCGAGCGAACAGACGAGGAGCUUGCUCCUCUGACGUUAGCGGCGGACGGGUAAGUAACACGUGGAUAACCUACCUAUAAGACUGGGAUAACUUCGGGAAACCGGAGCUAAUACCGGAUAAUAUAUUGAACCGCAUGGUUCAAUAGUGAAAGACGGUUUUGCUGUCACUUAUGGAUGGAUCCGCGCCGCAUUAGCUAGUUGGUAAGGUAACGGCUUACCAAGGCAACGAUGCGUAGCCGACCUGAGAGGGUGAUCGGCCACACUGGAACUGAGACACGGUCCAGACUCCUACGGGAGGCAGCAGUAGGGAAUCUUCCGCAAUGGGCGAAAGCCUGACGGAGCAACGCCGCGUGAGUGAUGAAGGUCUUCGGAUCGUAAAACUCUGUUAUUAGGGAAGAACAAAUGUGUAAGUAACUAUGCACGUCUUGACGGUACCUAAUCAGAAAGCCACGGCUAACUACGUG